rnacentral:misc_RNA from 1 species
GAUGAAGAACGUAGCGAAAUGCGAUAAGUAGUGUGAAUUGCAGAAUUCAGUGAAUCAUCGAAUCUUUGAACGCACAUUGCGGCCAUAGGUAUUCCUUUGGCCAUGCCUGUUCGAGCGUCAUUUACACCCUCAAGCCUAGCUUGGUGUUGGGCGUCUGUCCCGCCGUUUUCGCGCGCGGACUCGCCUCAAAGUCAUUGGCGGCGGUCGUGCCGGCCCCCUCGCGCAGCACAUUUGCGCUUCUCGGAGGCCCGGCGGAUCCGCGCUCCAGCAAGACCUUUCACGACUUGACCUCGGAUCAGGUAGGGAUACCCGCUGAACUUAAGCAUAUCAAUAAGCGGACGA